rnacentral:rRNA from 1 species
UACGUAGGGUGCAAGCGUUGUCCGGAAUUAUUGGGCGUAAAGAGCUCGUAGGUGGCCUGUCGCGUCGGCUGUGAAAACUCGGGGCUCAACUCCGAGCUUGCAGUCGAUACGGGCAGGCUAGAGUUCGGCAGGGGAGACUGGAAUUCCUGGUGUAGCAGUGAAAUGCGUAGAUAUCGGAAGGAACACCUGUGGCGAAAGCGGCUCACUGGACCAUUACUGACGCUGAGGCACGAAAGCUAGGGGAGCAAACAGG